rfam:Theileria equi strain WA gcontig_1105316255047 apicoplast, whole genome shotgun sequence.
GCUAAUAUAGUUUAAUUUUAUAAAACCUUUGAUUUGUAAUCGAAAAAAUAAGAGUGAGAUUCUCUUUGUUAGCG